CCUAGUAACUGCGAGUGAAGCGGGAAAAGCUCAAAUUUAAAAUCUGGUGGUCUUUGGCCAUCCGAGUUGUAAUUUAGAGAAGCGUCUUCCGCGCUGGACCGUGCACAAGUCUCCUGGAAUGGAGCGUCAUAGAGGGUGAGAAUCCCGUCUUUGGCAUGGACCCCAGGGCUUCUGUGAUGCGCUCUCAAAGAGUCGAGUUGUUUGGGAAUGCAGCUCAAAAUGGGUGGUGAACUCCAUCUAAAGCUAAAUAUUGGCGAGAGACCGAUAGCGAACAAGUACCGUGAGGGAAAGAUGAAAAGCACUUUGGAAAGAGAGUGAAACAGUACGUGAAAUUGUUGAAAGGGAAACGCUUGAAGUCAGUCGCGUCGACCGAGACUCAGCCUUGCCUUGGCUUGGUGUACUUCUCGGCUGACGGGUCAGCAUCAAUUUCGAUCCUUGGAUAAUGGCAAGGGAAAGGUAGCACCUUUACAGGUGUGUUAUAGUCCUCUGUCGCAUGCAAGGGUUGGGAUUGAGGAACUCAGCACGCGCCUUGUCGGUGUCGGGGCCUUUUGGCCUACGUACGUGCUUAGGAUGCUGGCAUAAUGGCUUUAAACGACCCGUCUUGAAACACGGACCAAGGAGUCUAACAUGCACGCGAGUGUUCGGGUGGAAAACCCGUGCGCGUAAUGAAAGUAAAAGUUGGGACCUCUGUCGUGGAGGGCACCGACGCCCGGACCAGACCUUCUGUGACGGCUCUGCGGUAGAGCGUGUAUG
rnacentral:rRNA from 1 species